GCGGCUCAUCAUUGUAGCUGGAGGUUUAGCAGCACUCAUAAUAUCUGUUGUUACAGUCAACGUGUGGACAAGAAGUAAAGGUGAAUAAUGAUGAAGAUGAAGAUGAUGGUCCAGUCAACUAUGAAAACGUUGGAGACCCUUCUGCUUCUGUCAGACACUGAUCAACAUCAACUCACCACAGAAAUGAGUCCACUGCUGUUAAAUAUCAUCUCAGAUCAACACAGCUCCUAAAGUCUGUAUUUCUGAUCACACAACAAUCAUCACAACUGGAAAUUUGGACGAUGUUAAAUCACAAGUUUAGAUACCCAGCCUUCCCUGAAAUCACCUGUCAGCCUAUUAACCACACCCAGGAAGUUCUAUAACCCCUCCUCCUUUGGCCUGCAGGCCCUUUUCCCUCCAAACCAACCAAGACAACAAAGACAACUACUGUGAGUGAAAUAAUGGACUUUCAAUCCUAAUGUUUAGUUCCCUUAUAACAGUUAUUUUCUUGUUGUUUCCUUGUUGCAUCUUUUUGUCUGGGUUGUUGAAUGUUUGUUUCUGUUACAUUACAUUAGAUUCCUGUGUUAAUAUGCUGAAGAUGAUGAGACAUACAGAAAUAGUGGAUGUGUUGUUGUUUCACUGGCCUUGAAAAAGUCGAGCUCAUCAGAGGAGGUGAUGUUUUGGAUUGACAGGCUCAAUACUGUGGAGCCCACAGGCCUUAAUGAGAGCUUUAGUUUCAAACCUUUCUCAUGACAGUGUUUGGAUCUUGAUGUAUGAUGCAGUGUUUGUGUUGUUGUGUUUCUGUUCUCUACACUAGAUUGUACUUUGUCAGAGUUCUUGU